CCUACGGGCUGCUGCAGUGGGGGAUAUUGCACAAUGGGGGGAACCCUGAUGCAGCGACGCCGCGUGGGUGAAGAAGCGCCUCGGCGCGUAAAGCCCUGUCAGCAGGGAAGAAAAUGACGGUACCUGAAGAAGAAGCCCCGGCUAACUACGUGCCAGCAGCCGCGGUAAUACGUAGGGGGCAAGCGUUAUCCGGAUUUACUGGGUGUAAAGGGGGCGCAGACGGCGAGGCAAGCCAGGAGUGAAAGCCCGGGGCCCAACCCCGGGACUGCUCUUGGAACUGCGUGGCUAGAGUGCAGGAGGGGCAGGCGGAAUUCCUGGUGUAGCGGUGAAAUGCGUAGAUAUCAGGAGGAACACCGGUGGCGAAGGCGGCCUGCUGGACUGCAACUGACGUUGAGGCCCGAAAGCGUGGGGAGCAAACAGGAUUAGAUACCCCAGUAGUC
rnacentral:rRNA from 1 species